CUCUCUCUCUCUCUCUCCUGUUUGUAGCAGUGAAGUGAAAUGCUGGGAAUUUAGAAUUUAGAAAGAAAAAAUCAACGAAGACGAAGAAGAAGACGAAAAAUAAAGGAAAAAGAAAUGAGAAAUGCUUCACAUUCUCUCAUAUAACAAGUGAAUGUGUGUGUGUGCAAAAAGCUAAAGUGACGGAGUUUGACAGUGCUUUUAUCUUUCCGUCUAAGCUCAGCCAUAGCAGUACCCACCCCCCGACAGGUGACCUUUUUCUUUGGGGUUUUGGCCCCCACUCCACCCGGUUUCCUCCUCCUUUUUUUUCUCUUUUUCCCUCGUUCCUCGAAUCAGAUCAGAUCAUAAGUAUUAGGAGAUAUGCACAAAUCAAUUAGUACUUGAAUUUGUAUUAAACUGUUAAUCAAACUAAAAAAUUGAUUAAACUAAUUGCUUUUUAUUUUUCAUUUUUAAGUAUUUACUUGACUUGAAAGAAUCAAUUGAACAAAGGAACUAAUAAUAUGAUCAAUUCGAUCACUUAUCAAA